UACAGAGGUCUCAAGCGUUGUUCGGAAUCAUUGGGCGUAAAGAGCGUGUAGGCGGCUUGUUAAGUCUUGCGUGAAAUCUCGGGGCUCAACCCCGAGCGGUCGUGAGAAACUGGCAGGCUAGAGUGCGGGAGAGGAGAGUGGAAUUCCUGGUGUAGCGGUGAAAUGCGCAGAUAUCAGGAAGAACACCAGUGGCGAAGGCGGCUCACUGGCCCGAUACUGACGCUGAGGCACGAAAGCGUGGGGAGCAAACAGG
rnacentral:rRNA from 1 species